rfam:Hordeum vulgare subsp. vulgare, WGS project CAJW01000000 data, contig: morex_contig_46374
CAAUUACUUCCUCCGUUCCAAAAUUCUUGUNUUAGAUUUGUCUAGAUAUGAAUGUAUCAAGUCACGUUUUAGUAUUUAGAUACAUCUAUUUUUAAACAAACCUAAGACAGGAAUUUUAGGAUGAAGGGAGUGGUAU